GCCAUGCAUGGUGGUGCAGGCCUGUAAUCCCAGCUACUUGGGAGGCUGAGGCAGGAGGAUUACAAGUUCUCAGCCUCAGCAGUUUAGCAAGAGCCUAUCUUUU
rnacentral:sRNA from 1 species